rnacentral:tRNA from 1 species
GCCGGGGUGGCUCAGUCAGUUAAGCGUCUGACUUCAGCUCAGGUUGUGAUCUCACCAUUCGUGGGUUCGAGCCCCAUGUCAGGCU